GCUGCCCAGCGCCUGGAUACCUGUGCCAUGCACCCCCAGGCCGGGCCACCCACCUGCAGACCUCAUCCGCCAACGGGAGAUGAAGUGGGUGGAGAUGACCUCGCACUGGGAGAAAACCAUGUCCCGGCGGUACAAGAAGGUAAAGAUGCAGUGCCGGAAAGGCAUCCCGUCUGCCCUGCGCGCCCGAUGCUGGCCCCUGUUGUGUGGGGCCCAUGUGUGCCAGAAGAACAGCCCUGGCACCUAUCAGGAGCUGGCAGAGGCCCCUGGAGACCCACAGUGGAUGGAGACCAUUGGCAGGGACCUGCACCGUCAGUUCCCUCUGCACGAGAUGUUUGUGUCGCCUCAGGGCCACGGGUACGAGGCCGGUGAUGCCCAGGGACCCCCAGCCCCACAAGCCCCACGUGCUCCAGCCCACUUUCCCCAGCCCAGCUCUACAGUCUUGCAUCUCAGGGGACCCAGCAAGGCCCAGGGAGGCUGAGGCCUGGGCAGAGGCCCCCAGAGGGUGGAGAAGGGGAUGCCUGCAGGACUGGCCCCUUAUGGGGUCUUCCGGCACAGGCAGCAGGGGCUCCUGCAGGUGCUCAAGGCCUACACCCUGUAUCGACCGGAGCAGGGCUACUGCCAGGCCCAGGGGCCCGUGGCUGCUGUGCUGCUCAUGCACCUGCCCCCGGAGGUGAGUGACCUUGACCCUGCUCUGGGAACUCUAGUGACCUAGGCCCAGGGAACCCCAUCCCCAGAAACUGU
rnacentral:sRNA from 1 species